AUAUAGAAAGGAUAGUGAGCUUGCUGACUGAGAAUGGCAAUACCAGGGAUGACCUGAGGCUCCCAACCGAUGGGAGUCUCCUCUCUCGAAUUAA